UACGGAGGGAGCUAGCGUUGUUCGGAAUUACUGGGCGUAAAGCGCACGUAGGCGGACUUACAGGUCAAUUGUGAAAUACCUGAGCUCAACUCAGGAACUGCAGUUGAAACCGUUUGUCUUGAAUACCUGAGAGGGUGGGGGAAUACCUGGUGGAGAAGUGAAAUUCGUAGAGAUCAGGUGGAACACCGGAGGCGAAGGCGCCUGCCUGGCAGUGUAUUGACGCUGAGGUGCGAAAGUGCGGGGAGCAAACAGG
rnacentral:rRNA from 1 species